rnacentral:misc_RNA from 1 species
GUGAAUUAAACAUGCUUGGUGUCUUCGCUUCGGCAAGGCCCUUGCUUAAAUCACAUCCUAACACCUGUGAACUGUAAGACGUAUGAUGAGGUCUUUGGCCAAGUCAUCGUCUGCCCAUUUCUAACAAGCAAUUAAUGUAACAAACGUAGUCUUAUUAUAACCUAAUA